ensembl:lncRNA
UAGAACGUGAGGGAGAAGAUGCAUAGCUGCCAAUUAGCUGUACCUGUUGAAGGGCAAUAAGGCAUAGUCUUGCUCCUAAGUGGCAUCACCAACCAUUUUAUUUUGCCUGAGACUGCCCUAGUUUUAGUGCUGAAAGUCCAAUAUCCUGUGCAAACCAGGGCUAGGGUCACCUUAGUCAUAAGAUCUGCUGGGAGUUCCUACAGAGGAGGCAGGAGGGAGACAUGUUGGUCCAGAGCAAAGGAAAGUGUGAACUAGUGGGAAGAGAAAGGACAGCUCUUUGUCAGGAGGAGCCCAAAGUUCACCUGGUCUGGGCCAGCCAAUAUCAAUGUCAAAGAGGUGUACAGAGUUCAUUGACCUCCCCACCUUCCAGGGACACUGGGAUCUGGGGCCUACGUGAAAGAAUAUGUCUGAGCUCGGAGCUGAAGAUGGCCACUUCGACCCUGACCCUGAGGCACAAGUUACUAAGACAAUGUCCUGUGUCACGUUCCUUGUCUGGGCUGGCCACCCCGACAGGCACCUGCCUGGACUAUAGAAACAUCCCAUGUAUGGGAACAAAAAGAUAAAAACAUCCCAUCCGUGGGAACAAGAAGAAGUAACUCAAAGUAUCUAAAUGUCUGAAACACUGAGUCAGAACCCAGAAAACAGUAGAAUAAAAGGGAGUCACAGGCAUAGAACAAUUGGGGGUCUCACCGAGGAGAGGACGCUUUGCCUCAGACCCGGACAAUCAGCACUCCUGCCCGCCACACAAACUGUUGGGACUUCCCCGGCUGAUUGUGAUGUGGAUGUUGAACAUGUUGGUACCUAUCUGUUGAGUCAGCACUAAAGUCCACAUGAACAACCAUCCAAACUUUGAGUGAGGGAUUAGGGUUCACUCCACAGCGUCUGGCUUCGUUUCAACCCUGAGGACCAAAUUGAGAGAACAACUGGAGCUCACCGGCACUGACUCGCCUUGGUGACUAAUGCAGAACUUGCUCUCCUGAAACCUAGAGACAAUGACAGGUGUGGCUGGAAGAGUGCUUCCUCCAACAGGAGCAAUGAUGGAAACUCUUAUGUCAGUGAGCCUCAUUCUCUGUGCUAAUAACACCCCAUCUGGCCAAAGCUUAACCUUCCUUCAAAGCAGAAGAUCCAGGAUCUGUGAGCCGUAAAAGUGACAGUCCUGUGGUGCCAGGCAGAAAAAAUGCCCAAUGUGAGCUGAACUUUUGGCUGAUCACAUAGAUUUUAUGCUUUGCAAACUGCCUUCUCCUAUCAUCUUUGCCAUCAUUCACAAAGGAAGGAACAUUUGAAGCCAACGUCAUUAUGCUUGGCUUUGCAAACAUUUGUAUUCGAGACUAUUGUUCUGAAUAGGUGGACUGAAGUCAAAGGCAGUCAGCUUCAACUGCUAGAAAUUGCCUGAAAGAUUGCCCCCUUCAUUACUUAUUCCUUAAAUUGUCAUCCAUAGUAUGAUUAAAAUUGCCUUUUCUACUUCUUUGCACUUUAGAUCAUUUUACCAGAAAGCUAGUUUUUUUGACAUGAAUGAUCCUUAAAUGGUGUCUAGCGAUUGGAAUGGAUGAAAUAUAUAUGUUCAUGGUUAGAGUUGGCAAUGCUCAGGUAGAUAUAAGUUGAUUUCCUGGCCUUGUUUCAAUCGGAUGUCCAUGGCGCUUAGGGCUACAAGAAGGUUCUGGUGGGUAGAAAUAGUAGUUACAUAAGCAACGUAGCCCUGACUCUGAUUCCUUGUUCAUUGGCUGUGUAGAGGGUGGACAUCUUUCUUAGUCCCUGUUAGCCUUUAUUUUCUUGUCCCUAAAAAGGCAGUAAGAAUAUCUACCAAAUAGGUUGUGUGGUUUAAAUAAAAUAAUGGAUGUAAACAUCCACAAUUUCUAGAACCUGCCAUGGACAGCUUAUUUAGUAAAUAUUAGCUUCCCCUACCAUCUCUCUUUGAUGCAAUGAUCAUAACCCUUAUAUAAUCCACAAAGAGAGAAUGAAAUUUUGUAAUGUUAGUAUGGUUCACAAACUAGUGUGAUAGGAGGCCAGAGAGAAGCCAAAUCUCAAUUUUUUCCUUCUUCCAAGAUCCAAAAACCAGUACAUUAGGUGAAUUUAUAAAAUACAGUAAAAUACACUAGCAGCACUCAAGGAAAGAAAGGUUGGUGGAUAUGGCUCUUGAUCAUUGAAAGAGAAGCCAGGUUUCCCAGAAUACACAGUUCCAUGAGGUGCCACACCAGGUAGUUCCCAACUUUACAACCCGCAAAAGCACUAAAAGUGGUCAGAAACAUCAAAAAAAUUCUGAAAACAAAACUUCGUUCUUUCUCCAGUUUGGAGAUAUGUAGAUGAUGAGACCAAAAAUAUCCAUGAAAGUAGAAGCCUCACUCAAUCUCCAACACCCCUAGAGGUUGGGGCAAUUAUUGAUGUUGGCCAUUUUGGUUUCUUCAUGCUCAGAAGAAACCAGUGGCAGAAAAGUCGCAAAUAAACAGAGCUAAUUAUAUCUGACAAUAAAUAAGACAAUCAGAACAUAAAAGAUAACAUAAAUAAAAUCUAAUCUUGGUAGGCAGCAGGAGGUAAGGAGAGUUUAUGGAAACUCAUCUUAAGUAAAGUACCUCUCUCAACUCUGUGGACUUCUACCAACAGGCCAAAAUCCACUUCCGGGGAAGAAAGAGGAGAUGGGGUGAGAACAGCCUGGGCUGACUGUCUGAUGGAAGCAAUGGCUUGAAGUUUUUAGAAAUUGAUGGAACUGUAUGAAGCUUCAGGGUAGCUUCCGUGAAGCUUCAGCCACACAGAAUUAAGUAAAAUCCCAGUAAGAGUGAGUUAACCCUGGUACAGGACAUUUAAUGAGGAGAAGAGCAAAAGAGAAGAACAGAAAUCCACAUGUUAAUCCUCCCUCCAGCCAUCAGACUGUUGCUAAUAGAGAUAAACCAACGGGCCUCAUAGGAAAUGAGGAUAGAAGGUUUUGGGCAAAUCACCCAACAUUCAGGAUAAGCAAGAUUGAUCUUUUCAAGAACCAG